ACGCUGGCGGCGUGCCUAAUACAUGCAAGUAGAACGCUGAAGAGAGGAGCUUGCUCUUCUUGGAAGAGUUGCGAACGGGUGAGUAACGCGUAGGUAACCUGCCUUGUAGCGGGGGAUAACUAUUGGAAACGAUAGCUAAUACCGCAUAACAAUGGGUGACCCAUGUCAUUCAUUUGAAAGGGGCAACAGCUCCACUACAAGAUGGACCUGCGUUGUAUUAGCUAGUAGGUGAGGUAACGGCUCACCUAGGCGACGAUACAUAGCCGACCUGAGAGGGUGAUCGGCCACACUGGGACUGAGACACGGCCCAGACUCCUACGGGAGGCAGCAGUAGGGAAUCUUCGGCAAUGGGGGCAACCCUGACCGAGCAACGCCGCGUGAGUGAAGAAGGUUUUCGGAUCGUAAAGCUCUGUUGUAAGUCAAGAACGAGUGUGAGAGUGGAAAGUUCACACUGUGACGGUAGCUUACCAGAAAGGGACGGCUAACUACGUGCCAGCAGCCGCGGUAAUACGUAGGUCCCGAGCGUUGUCCGGAUUUAUUGGGCGUAAAGCGAGCGCAGGCGGUUUGAUAAGUCUGAAGUUAAAGGCUGUGGCUCAACCAUAGUUCGCUUUGGAAACUGUCAAACUUGAGUGCAGAAGGGGAGAGUGGAAUUCCAUGUGUAGCGGUGAAAUGCGUAGAUAUAUGGAGGAACACCGGUGGCGAAAGCGGCUCUCUGGUCUGUAACUGACGCUGAGGCUCGAAAGCGUGGGGAGCGAACAGGAUUAGAUACCCUGGUAGUCCACGCCGUAAACGAUGAGUGCUAGGUGUUGGGUCCUUUCCGGGAUUCAGUGCCGCAGCUAACGCAUUAAGCACUCCGCCUGGGGAGUACGACCGCAAGGUUGAAACUCAAAGGAAUUGACGGGGGCCC
rnacentral:rRNA from 1 species